rnacentral:rRNA from 1 species
CCUACGGGUGGCUGCAGUGGGGAAUAUUGGACAAUGGGCGAAAGCCUGAUCCAGCCAUGCCGCGUGUGUGAAGAAGGCCUUCGGGUUGUAAAGCACUUUCAGUGGGGAAGAAAGCCUUGGGGCUAAUACCCUCGAGGAAGGACAUCACCCACAGAAGAAGUACCGGCUAACUCCGUGCCAGCAGCCGCGGUAAUACGGAGGGUGCGAGCGUUAAUCGGAAUUACUGGGCGUAAAGCGCGCGUAGGCGGUCUGAUAAGCCGGUUGUGAAAGCCCCGGGCUCAACCUGGGAACGGCAUCCGGAACUGUCAGGCUAGAGUGCAGGAGAGGAAGGUAGAAUUCCCGGUGUAGCGGUGAAAUGCGUAGAGAUCGGGAGGAAUACCAGUGGCGAAGGCGGCCUUCUGGACUGACACUGACGCUGAGGUGCGAAAGCGUGGGUAGCAAACAGGAUUAGAUACCCUAGUAGUC